UGUUGAAAACCAGCAGGGUUUAUUUUCCUGUAAUAAAGGAGUCUUGGCCUAGCCAGUGAAAAUUGCCCCUUAGGUCAAUAGUCUUUCCCCAGGGCGGGGACCGUGCAAGCCAUGUCCCCCUGUCCCCAGUAGGGCCAGCACCCCCCUGGAGUCCAGCCUUGUGCCUGGACCCACAGGGUUUUUCCACUAACAGAUUUCCCUGUUUAUUCCACAGGUUAUUUUCCGUUUUGCUCUGGCACUUUUUAAGUACAAGGAAGAGGAGAUUUUGAAAUUGCAAGAUUCGAUGUCUAUAUUUAAGUAUCUCCGCUACUUCACUCGCACUAUCCUUGAUGCUAGGAAGCUGAUCAGUAUCUCCUUUGGGGACCUGAACCCUUUCCCCCUACGCCAGAUCCGGAACCGACGCGCCUACCACUUGGAGAAAGUCCGGCUGGAGCUGACCGAGCUGGAGGCCAUCCGUGAGGACUUCCUGCGUGAGCGGGAUACCAGCCCUGACAAGGGUGAGCUGGUCAGUGACGAGGAGGAGGAUACCUGAGUGGGCUCCGGGAUGCUGCUCUUCCUUCCUUCACAACCAAAGUGU
rnacentral:sRNA from 1 species